GGGUGAUUAGCUCAGCUGGGAAGGAGGGGGUCGGCGGUUCGAUCCCGUCAUCACCCACCA
rnacentral:tRNA from 1 species